rnacentral:rRNA from 1 species
UACGGGGGGAGCAAGCGUUGUUCGGAUUUACUGGGCGUAAAGGGCGCGUAGGCGGCCAGCACAAGUCAGUUGUGAAAUCUCCGGGCUUAACUCGGAAAGGUCAACUGAUACUGUGCGGCUAGAGUGCAGAAGGGGCAACUGGAAUUCUCGGUGUAGCGGUGAAAUGCGCAGAUAUCGGGAGGAACACCGGUGGCGAAGGCGGUUCUCUGGGACGGUACUGACGCUGAGGCGCGAAAGCGUGGGGAGCAAACAGG